UGCACACGCGGACAGAGUGAUUGUAAGGAUAUGUGUGCACCUCACAGAGAGGUUGUGAGAUUGUAAGGGUUUGCGCACCUAACGGAGAUGUUGUGAGUGCUUUUUUUCCUGACAGGCUGUGAGUUUGUGUUGUGUGUAUUAGAGGUUUGUAUGGGCCUGACUGAGGGGUUGUGGAAUGUGUGUGCGUGAGCAUGAGCCUGG
rnacentral:lncRNA from 1 species